AUAGGGGGACCCAAGUGCACAGGCAUAGCGCCUGUGCUUUUCGGUACCCUAAGGCGGUNCCANAAUAAGGGCUGGGCAAGACCGGUGCCAGCCGCCGCGGUAAUACCGGCAGCCCAAGUGAUGGCCGAUCUUAUUGGGCCUAAAGCGUCCGUAGCUGGCCACGCAAGUCCAUCGGGAAAUCCACCUGCCCAACAGGNGGACGCCCGGUAGAAACUGCGUGGCUUGGGACCGGAAGGCGCGACGGGUACGUCCGGGGUAGGAGUGAAAUCCCGUAAUCCUGGACGGACCGCCGAUGGCGAAAGCACGUCGCGAGAACGGAUCCGACAGUGAGGGACGAAAGCCAGGGUCUCGAACCGGAUUAGAUACCCGGGUAGUCCUGGCCGUAAACAAUGUCUGCUAGGUGNGGCUCCCACUACGAGUGGGUGCUGUGCCGCAGGGAAGCCG
rnacentral:rRNA from 1 species